ACGAUCUGCACAUUUAAAAUAAUCUACUACAGUUUUCACUGAGACGCACAACGGGCAACUAAUACAUAAUACAGAAGUUUUGUGCUCACAGACAACGUUGAAAGUACACGUAUUGGAAGUCACGUAGUUGACAGGCAGUGUCUCUUCAGUUAUACACUAACGUGCCACGUACAGCAGUCGCUUACAGCUUUGCUUUAAAUUAUUGAAAGCUUCGUUUCUCCAACUGUAUUUGCCAUUGACCCAGAGAACGCUCUUAGAACUGAACGUUGUUUCAUUUAUUAUUUCGAACUGCAGCCAAUAUAAGUGAUAAAACUAUUAACAUGAGUUACGGAUAUCCACUUUCCCCAACUGUAGUUCCUAAUGAUCCUUUUAACCCAACCCAAGAUGCGGAGAUUUUGCGGAAAGCUAUGAAAGGCUGGGGAACAGAUGAGAAAUCCAUCAUUCAAGUACUGGCACACCGUCCUAAUUUACAACGUUUGGAAAUCGCAGCCCAGUUUAAAACUUUAUAUGGCAAGGAUCUGGUUGAAGAUUUAAAAUCUGAAACAUCUGGUAACUUUGAAAAUCUGUUAGUUGCAAUGAUGACACCUUUACCACAGUAUUAUGCGAAGGAGUUAUACGAUGCCAUGAGUGGAGUUGGUACUGAUGAGACUGUUUUGAUUGAAGUAUUAUGUACUAUGUCAAAUCAUCAAAUCAACGUAAUUAAACAGGCAUAUGAAGCUUUGUUCGGAAAUUCGUUAGAGAAUGAGUUAAUGGCAGAUACUUCUGGAAGUUUUAAACGUUUAAUGGUGUCUCUAUGCUGUGGCAACAGAGAUGAGUCAUUUGAUAUUGAUCCAGUAGGUGCUGUUGAAGACGCAAGGAAACUACUUCAAGCAGGAGAAAUUCGUUUUGGUACCGAUGAGUCGGCAUUUAACGCGAUUCUCGUCCAAAGGAAUAUCCCUCAAUUACAUAUGAUUUUUAAUGAGUAUCAGAACAUAACUGGCCACGACAUCGAGGAAGCUAUUAAAAAUGAGUUUUCGGGUGAUAUUGAGAAAGGCUUACUUGCCAUUGUUAAGUGUGUGAAGAACAGAGCAGGGUUCUUUGCGGAACAAAUACACAAGAGCAUGAAGGGCAUGGGCACCGAAGAUAGACGUCUUAUAAGAUUAAUUGUUACGAGAUCUGAAGUUGAUAUGGGAGAAAUAAUGGAGGCUUAUCAACAGCAGUAUGGCAAAUCUUUGGUUGAAGCUAUCUCUGAUGAUUGCUCUGGUGAUUACAAAAAGUGCCUGAUUGCUCUUAUUUCCUAAUUCGUUAUUUAUAAACUAAAAUUUUUUGCCCUUUAGAAUUCGCAUUUAUUUAUUGCAUUAAUGAAAAAAAAAAAAAAAAAAUACGAAUCAUUGAUAACCAAUUUUUUGUAUUUUUUCAAGCUGAAUUAUAUAUAUGUGCGUAUUUCGAAAACUGUUACACAAUAUCUUGUGUCUUAAUCGAGAAUCUAAUGUAAAAAACUGCUUGUUGUCAUGCAACCAAAUUCUUACUGUCUAGUACCAUCCGUUUGUAAUUACAAAAAACUAAAAAAUAUUUCAGAACAGAUUUUGUGGUGCAUGUGUGUAUCGAAUGUAUCAAUUAAAAAUGUAGUAUGAAGUUUGCUGUACAUAUAUUUACUUUAGAAUUUGUCAUAAAAUAAUUACUCAGUCACGUGUAUCAAAGUAAAUCAAAAAAAUAAAUGUUGGCAUGUUUGGUACGUAAUUUCGAGCAGCUUCGUAUUACAUUUUUAAUGAAAAGUGCCAAUGUCAAUAUUGUGAAUUGGCUGUGUUAUGAUAUAUAAACCACUAUUUUUUUGAUCUUUUUAGAUAUAUAGCUGUUCGGAAAAAUCUAUUUGUAUAAUUAGCACUAGAGUUUAUAAAUAAUGUUGAGUUGUACGGAAUUACUGAAUAAACAAUUUUAUUGUA
rnacentral:lncRNA from 1 species